AACAGGUUAAAUACAAGUCUUCUAAAUUUGUUUUAGGGAAACCUGCCUGUU
rnacentral:tRNA from 1 species